AUUCAGACAUAUGGUUUGCCACGUACUUUUUAUUGACAGUAACCUAAACUUUAAUAAUUCCAUACCUAAUAUCAAAAAAUUUGGCAUACUUUUUUGUGAUAUAUAAACUUACAAAUAAUCCAUCUCACCUGUUGUCAUCUUUAUUAACUCUAAACAAAAAUCUAAUUCAUUUUUUCCUUCACCACUGAUAUAAAUUAUAAUGAGUUGUUUUAGAAUUGUUAUGAACUCGAAGAUUAAGUAGUAUGGCUAAAAGGUCCAAAUUUACCUGAAUUUGCAUUUAUGAAAGUUGGAUCAAAAAUAAGUGUCUGUUAUGAACCCAUCUAUUCCACCAGUGAUGGAGGUGCCACCGAGCGAGGAGACGGCAGAGCCUACCCCGGAAACACUAUCGGGUGAGUCGGUUUCGACAUCAACGGAGGAACGUGGAACGGAGGAACGUGGAGAACAGGUGAAGGAGGUUAGGGAGAAGACGGAGAAGAGACAGUUAAGGCCACGGAAGGGACUCAAGCAGCCUGAUCGCUUUCAAGACUUCGUGACGAAGUAGCACACCAGCUGCUCGAGGAAAGGCCAGAACCAGUUUACUGUUUUAUCCCUUUUAUUAGACUUUCGUAUUUUAUUGUAAUUUCCCAUUUAUUUUUUG